UNGGUCCACACAAAGCUAUCUAUUAAAACAAUUGCACAAAAAGAAAUUGAAUAAUACAAAAUCAACAUGUAAAAGCUAUACCAUUAUAUAAUCUCUUUAAAGAAAAAUGUGUUGCCUAUUUUCCUAACUGUCAUGCUCAGUCAUGGCAACGCAGAACAAAAAAAAAAGGUAAAAUCAUUCAAGAUCACAAAAAAACGUUAAUUCUAAAUAAACCACUAAAUCAACACCAAGCAAGAAUACAACAUAUGUUCAGUAUGAAAUAAGAAAGGGAGAGCCAAAAUCAUAACCGUUGGCGGCAUUGACCCUUGGGCUGGUUGUUCGCGACGGAAUCCCAAGCAACCACGGCAGAGAGAUGGUUCUGUUGCGGAAAGGUAGGUGGUGUGACGGCGUGUUGAUUCCGGCGGCGGUUUUUUCGACGGAGUUUGGUGGUUUGUCGGUGCGGAAGGGUUUUGCGAUGAGAUUCGAAGAGAUCCGGCGGAAGGAGUCGCGGAGGCGCGUCGGUUGUGGUUUGCAUUUUCGAAAGGGUAAUGGAAGGAGCGUGAAGAGGGAAGCUUUUCUUUUUCCUUUUUUAUUAUCCUCCUUUUUUCCGUUGAAAGAGAGAGUAUUUUUCUUAUGAUAGUGAGUGAGUGGUCUCAUGAGUCUCUUUUUUCUUUAUUUUAUAGAGAAGAGCCUGUAUUGUCUUUUCAUUUGCUUUCUUUUGUAGCAUAGAGACGUUGGUGGAGGUCCUGUGUGCGCUAGCUGUCACCUAAAUAUGAAAUCCUUUCUUUUCUUUUGCCAGCUAGAGAGAGUGUGGAUUGGAGAGAGAUUUUUUAUAUUUUUUAUUUAUUUUCAGAUUUUCUUUAAUAAUAGUAUUACUUAAAUCCUAAUUUUUGAUUGGAUAAAUGGGAUAAAUGUGGAUUGCUAAUAAUGGCCACUGAUUAAUUUGAACCGAUGGCUUGGAUUGAAUCAAAGAAAUACACCAAGAAAUACACACUAUUUAAAUAAAUCAAAAUGCAUAUAAUGCCUAUUUUUAAAUGAUUUAAUCGAUUUAAAACAAUUUAAAUCAAUUGAAUCAAAUAAAAUUCACAACUUUUUAAAUAAUCAUGAUAAAAUUAACAAUUUAAAUCAAUUGAAUCAAAUAAAAUUCACAACUUUUUAAAUAAUCAUGAUAAAAUUAAAAUAAUAACAUGGAAAAUUCUAUUUAUUUAAUCUGACUAUUUUGACGAAAGAACAAAAUUAAAACAACUAAAGAUGAAUAAAAGUCGGGCAAAAAUUUGCUCAAAAAAUUAAAUCGGAUGCAUGAAAGUGAUCAGUGCAAAAUAUAUUUAUUGAAAAAAUACAGCGUUUCUUCAAAUUCUGAAAUAAGUUUACACCGGUUAAAAGGCUCAGGCGGGUCAAAACGCAACCGAAAUAGUCGCUGAAAAAUAUAACGAGCACACCAGGUUAAACUACGUGAACCGUAGAUUAAUAAUACUGGUGUCUGUGAUUUUAAUUUUGAAACUUUUUACCCGCUGAUUUAUGCACGUUCUUGAGAAAAUGAUUCAACCUAUUUGUCUGUAUUUUCAAUAAAUUUAUUCUGACCGAUAUUUUAGUUAUUAUUCAUGAUGGAAUGUAUGUCAUGCUAUGCAUAUGAUGCAAAUUAAAAAUGAAAUCGAUUUUACAAAAAUUUAAAUAUGCCCGGACAAAAUUGGGGUAUGACAACUGCCCCUAUUUAAUUACCUUGAACUAGAAGGUAAGAAUGACAACAUUCUUCAUACAUUCUAGUGGAAGAUAAUUAAAUACGAAAAGACCCAAAUUUUAUCGUUUUGAAAUGCAAGGAAGAAAUGCAAAAAAGAAAAUGUAGUAAGAAAUAUAGUAAGAAAAAUUAUCAAAAAGGUAAAAUGAAACAGUCGAGACUCUCUAGGAAUCGUCAGAACAGUGUCUUGGAUAUCAUAAUCGAGAUAUUCCGAUAAUGGAAUGAUACCUCAACUGCAUCUAAGACUUUCUGGAAAAUCAGCAGAACAGUGUCUUGAGCUGAGCACAAGGGAUUUUCUAAGUAUCAAUGAAGCAGUAUCCCAUAUGAUAUAAUCGAGAUAUUUCAACAAGGGAGUGAUACCUCAACCGUAUCUAAGAUUCUCCGAGGAUACUUAGAGGAAUACCUCUAAAAAUUGAAACCUGAAAUGAGACAUGAUACCUCAACCGUAUCUAAGAUUCUCCGAGGAUACUUAGAGGAAUACCUCUAAAAAUUGAAACCUGAAAUGAGACUCUUCAUAUUGAUGAAGCAGCAUCUCAAACAGUAAAAGUGAGAUUCUCUGCAUCGGGUCGAAGCAGCAUCUUAUAUGAUAGAAUUAAAAUGUUCCAGCAAGGGAAAGAUACUUUAAUUGAAUCUAAGACUCUCCGAGGAUAUUAUAGCAGUAUCUCUAAAAAAAUUGAAAUAAGACUCUUCAUAUUGAUGAAGCAGCAUCUCAAACAGUAAAAAUGAGAUUCUCUGUAUUGAGUCGAAACAGCAUCUUAUAUGAUAGAAUUAAAAUAUUCCAGCAAGGGAAAGAUACUUUAAUCGAAUCUAAGACUCUUCGAGGAUACUUAGAGCAAUAUCUCUAAAAAAAUCUGAAAUGAGACUCUUCAUAUUGAUGAAGCAGCAUCUCAAACAGUAAAAGUGAGAUUCUCUGUAUCGAGUCGAAGCAACAUCUUAUAUGAUAGAAUUAAGAUGUUUCAUCAAGGGAAAAAUACCUUAAUUGAAUCUAAGACUCUCCGAGGAUAAUAGAGCAGUAUCUCUAAAAAAAAAUUGAAAUGAGACUCUUCAUAUUGAUGAAGCAGUAUCUCAAACAGUAAAAAUGAGAUUCUCUGUAUCGGGUCGAAGCAGCAUCUUAUAUGAUAAAAUUAAGAUAUUCCAACAAGGGAAAAGAUACCUUAAUUGAAUCUAAGACUCUCCGAGGAUACUUGGAGCACUACCUCUAAAAAAUCUGAAAUGAGACUCUUCAUAUUGAUGAAGCAGUAUCUCAAACAGUAAAAAUGAGAUUCUCUGUAUCGAGUCGAAUUAGCAUCUUAUACGAUAGAAUUAAGAUAUUCCAACAAGGGAAGGAUACCUUAAUUGAAUCUAAGACUCUCUGAGGAUAUUAGAGCAGUAUCUCGAAAAAAAAUCCGAAAUGAGACUCUUCAUAUUGAUGAAGCAGUAUCUCAAACAGUAAAAAUGAGAUUCUCUGUAUCGAGUCGAAGCAACAUCUUAUACGAUAGAAUUCAAAUAUUCCAGCAAGGGAAAGAUACUUUAAUCGAAUCUAAGACUCUUCAAGGAUACUUAGAACAAUAUCUCUAAAAAAAUCUGAAAUGAGACUCUUCAUAUUGAUGAAGCAGCAUCUCAAACAGUAAAAGUGAGAUUCUCUGUAUCGGGUCGAAGCAGCAUCUUAUAUGAUAGAAUUAAGAUGUUCCAGAAUCUGAAAUGAGACUCUUCAUAUUGAUGAAGCAGCAUCUCAAACAGUAAAAGUGAGAUUCUCUGUAUCGGGUCGAAGCAGCAUCUUAUAUGAUAGAAUUAAGAUGUUCCAGCAAGGGAAAAAUACCUAAAUUGAAUCUAAGACUCUCUGAGGAUAUUAGAGCAGUAUCUCUAAAAAAUUUGAAAUGAGACUUUUCAUAUUGAUGAAGCAGUAUCUCAAACAGUAAAAAUGAGAUUCUCUGUAUCGGGUCGAAGCAGCAUCUUAUAUGAAAGAAUUAAUAUAUUCCAAACAAGGGAAUGAUACCUUAAUUGAAUCUAAGACUCUCCGAGGAUACUUAGAGAAGUAUCUCUAGAAAACAAAUGAGGUUCUUCAAAUUGAUGAAGUAGUAUCUCAAAUAGAGAGAUGAGAUUCUUCAGAUAAAUGAAGCAGUAUCUCGAAUAUUCGUCUGUUGGGGGAAUUUUUGAACAGACUCCCUUUGAGGGAGAUUUACUAGAAAUGCUCUGCAGGGGAAAAAGCUCAUAAGAGACUUUUUAAGAUAACCUCUGCUUGGGGAGCAAUGACUGUAAAGAAAAAUGUUAGGAACAUCAUUAUUAAUCAUAAAGUUGAAAAAUGAGUUGCUGAGAAACGAUCCCACGAGCAUAUGCAGGGUAAUAACUACAUGUGGAAAUGAGGAAUGUCCAAGAUAUGUAUGAAUGACCUUGGAUCCUAAUACUUUAUGUUUGAUUUUUGUAUGAUGUCCCACUUUAGGUGGGAAUACCAUGCAUGGGAUGGUGCAUGAGAUGCAUGCAAGUAUGCAAUUGCUGAUGAUAUUUGGGAUGUGCAUGCAGGAAUGUGAAUGAUUUUUGUUUUAUUGAAAUUCCCAUUUUGUGGGAGUGUUAUGCGUGAGUAUGCUGAUGAUUGAUAUGACUGUGUUUUUUUUUUGAAUUUUCUGCUUGGUAGGAAAACCAUGUAUGGAUGAUUCGUGUGAUGCAUGUGGGAAUGCAACUGGGUAAUUGGAUGUUUUUGUAGGGUUUAAUUCUUGAUUGCCAAUGAGGUUGGACUUUAAAUGGGAACUUCCAGAUUAGAAAUGGUGAAGGAGAUUGAACUGCCAGAUGAGGACAAUACUUGAAGGAUAUGUUAACAGACGCGAACUGGUGAAAAUAAUUGAAAUGUCAAACGAGACUGAAUUUGUUUUUGUUUAUCAGACAGAGACUGAUUUUUAAAGUAGGCUACCAAACAAGAACUGGUGGAAAUAAUUGACUACCAGACGAGAAUUGGUAUCGAAAUAGGUAACCUACCAGACAAGAACUGGUAUUAAGAGAUAAUUUACCAGACGAGAACUGGUAUUAAGAGAUAAUUUACCAGGCGAGAACUGGUAUUAAGAGAUAAUUUACCAGACGAGAACUGGUAUUUGGCAAAUGAUUUAUCAUACAAGAACUGAUUUUUGAUAUAGUUUUCCAGACGGGAAUUGGACUUUGGAAUAAGUUGCCAUACGAGAACUGGACUUUGAAAUAAAUUGCCAGGCGGGAACUGGGCUUUGAAAUAAAUUACCAGAUGGGAACUGGGCUUUUGAAAUAAGUUGUCAGACGGGAACUGGGCUUUUGAAAUAAGUUGCCAGACGAGAACUGGACUUUGAAAUGGCCAAGCGAUGUUGGGCUUUGGUGUCAGAUUUUGGGUUUCAAGACCUUUUGAUGCCAGGUUCAUGUUAUGGGGGGUUAUGCCUGAUAAAUUAUAUGAUAUGCAUGGCUUUACGCUAGAUCAAAGCGACAUGACUAAUGCAUGAUGAUGAUCUAUUUAAUGAUUGGAAGGUUUCCAAAAUUCCCCUGUGUGGGUAUUGGAAGAGAAGGUUCUUUGCAGAAGGCUUCUCUCUGUCAAAAGGUUAUUUUUUUUUAGUGGUAGCAUGAUUCCCCGACAGUCAUCUUGAACUCUGCAUUUGCUGACUUACGAAAAAGCUUUCGCUUGAACAACUUAAAGUCAGGGAGAUGACUUGCUCUUGUAUGGCUCAUCUUGCCCCAAUGUGGUGGGUCUUCGCGGAAGUUUUACCUUGAAAGGAUUUCGAAAGCAAUUGUACCAUAAAUUGGAGAUGGCUUUCCCCAAAAUUUAAAGUCAUGAAAAUAUUUUUCCUUGAUUAACCGACUCCUGGAGUGGUUGAAUUUUCUGUGCUCUUGAGGUAGCUUGGCCUGGUAUGAGCAUUGAAGCGACUUAACUCACCCUAACUGAACAUUGAAGGGGUCUGCCCCUGGCCAACAAAAACUCUAGGUGAUCUGCCCCUAGUUAAUAGAGUCCUUAGAUGAUUUGCUCUGGAUCAACUGAUUCUUGAAAUGAUUUGCACAUUUAUUAACAGAUGUUAGAGACUGUUUAAGACUGACCAAUUCUUGGAGCAAUUUUCCUAUGAUCAACUUGAUGUUUAGGUGGCAUGCCUCAUAUUCAUAGGUUUGGAGGUAGUCUUGAUUCUGGUGAAUGAUCAAGUUCCACUAGUUGCUCUUUGUUGAAAUUUCAACGAUGUCGAGUACUGAAUUGCAAUUAAAAUUGUUCGCUUAUAAAUGGUAAUUUUAAUGCGAUAUUCAUGCAAGUUUUGAAAAAGAAACAUUUAUUGGAAUGAUGUGAUAGUAUGUGAUGAGUCCAACUGUAAUGCUGAUUUAGCAAUUUAAAGUGUGAAAGACACAUUAAUGUUAAAUAUUAGCAAAUCUUUAGGAGUCAGUUUACGCAACUUUGCUGUAAUAUGCUUUCGGAAAUAUCCCUACCUCAAUUAGGUCUUUUGAGGGUUGUAACGUGGCCUGGUUCAUGGUUAUUGAAACAAAAGGAUAUAAGGCUCAAAGUUUAUUUUAACCCACCCCUUCUUCAUGAUGAUCUCCAAUCCUACAUUCAAUUAAUUUGACACACACAUUCGUCUUUUUUGAAGGUGUAAAGGAUAAAGAUGAUGAUUCAAGGUCUCUUGAAAUGGCAGUCACCUUAUUUCAUUUUCUGGAUGUCGGUGACCCUUUGAUUCUUGAUAUGGUGGUCACUGAGUCUUAUUCUGUUGAGUUGAGGGUUUUCAUGACCUCCUUUGAUUUUUGUUUUGAUCCCUAACUUUUGCAUGGACCGCUUUUUGAAGCUUUAGUCCAUCGGGAUUGCCCCUAUUUUUGCCUAAGUCUCCUUUUGGGGUAUCGACUUAGCGGGCUUUUUUUAUCAAUUCCCUUUUUUAGAAUGUGACUGCCAAGUCAUUGGUCAUUGAAGAACAACCGUCAUAACUUUUUGAUUUUUCAAGGUUCCUUCGACACUUUAGGAUGUGUGCGAAGAAUGGCAUGUAGUUGAUCCAAAGAAUGUGACUGCCAAGUCAUUGGUCAUUGAAGAACAACCGUCAUAACUUUUUGAUUUUUCAAGGUUCCUUCGACACUUUAGGAUGUGUGCGAAGAAUGGCAUGUAGUUGAUCCACAUACUGGAUAUGUCAUCUUGUAAUUUGAAUGUGUAGUCAUAUUAACUGAACACUACCCUACCCCAGGUUUAAUGUAAGGUUUUUUAGAUCCGAAAAAAACUCCUACUUCUAGGCCCGAAGUGGUUGACUAGGGAUUAACUCCUUAUCUCUCCAGUGUUUGGAGAUUUGAAACAAUGCCUGUACGUCAUCAGUAGGAUUUUAUCCGAAAGCAUACAGUCAGCAAUUAUGGGUAUUUUGUUUUCGUCAUCCUCCCUCAAAUCUUUGCUAAAACAAAAGUUAUGAUAAAGAAAAGUGAAUGGGAGAAAUACUGAUGUAUUUUUUGUUUUUGAUAUAAGAGAAGAAAAAUGAGAGAAUGUGAGAUAAUUAAUUCAAAACAUGCAUCAUUACUUCAUCAAUAUUACCAUUAAAAACAACAAUGUUUAAACACAAGCAGCUUUUAACAACAAAGAAACUACAAAUGCAGAAAUAGAAACAAAUCAGUCCAACGAUUGCUAGUGUUGAGGAUGUCUUCCUGUCUGAACUACUGGCAUUAGGAGAUACUCUAUGAAAUCUUUGAACUUAUUCUGACGUGAGGUUAACAUGCACCAACAGGCUUCCUUCUGAAAAGGAUAUCUACCUUUUGUAGAUCAAUUGUUGCACUUUAGCCUUGAAAGCAAUGCAGUCUUCAGUUGAAUGCCCUAUUGUUCCGGCAUGAUAUCCAUAUUGCACAUCAGGAUCAUAUCCAGGUGGGUAGAGGUUGCGUAGGACCAUUUACUGGAGCUGGAAUAACAUUCUCUACGACUGCAGUCUGCUGAAUGUUGUCCUCCCUCUUUUCUAAAGCUAUCAUAGCCUCCAUAGGUUGGUCUACAUGGUUUUUCAUCGAGUCAACAUCUCCUCUUAAUGCAAUGUGAUUUUGCUCCAAUGGACCCAUGGUUUUUCAAGAGCUACUUUAAGUCUGAUAUAAGUGUCGGGAAAUCAACUGCAGGUUAUGGGCGAAGGAUGGAUGAGUUUUUUGUAUUUAUUUUUUUGGUGAAAAAAUGAUAUGAAAUGUAUGAUGAUGAAUGCAAAUGCAAUAAUAUGUGUAUGAAUGUAGUGACAUGUUUAGGAUCACAUGUUCAAAGUGUUUUCAGAUGGAUCAGAAUAACGGGUGAAUGACGGGUAUCUCUGAUUAAUGUAACCCCAGAGGUAGGCUCUACAAUUGGUAGGUUCCUAGAGUCAUAGAUAUUUCUUGAGAACGUCACUGCCGUGACGAAGACUCGUCGGACAAUAAUAUCCUUAAGAAGAUCUCCUCUAGGUGAGGUCUUCAUAUUGUCCUAACAAGGAAGGCUCCAUGGGGAUUCUACUACACGACUCUCGAGUCCAGGGUUCUAACAAGGUUCUCAGAGUCAUAGAUCGAGGUUGGAAUUAUUAUUGUAAGGUAAUAAUACGUCCAAGGGAUCUCAUCUGAUUGGGGCUUUCGUAUUAACCCAAUAAGUCUGGGACUUUUCAGGUAAAUACUACAUAACCACCAGAUAUAAUGGGUUAAAAGGUCCCUAGAGUCAUUGAUCCAACUUGAGAAUACUAUCGUCGUGACGAAGACUCGUUGGGCAAUAAUAUCUCAGGAGAAUCUCCUCUAGGCGGGGUCUUCGUUUCUUCCCAACAAGGAAGACUCCUUGUGGGCGCCCACUACGCAACCACCAACUUAAUCUUAUGGUUUUCCUCAGACUCGGGUGGAGAGUCUAUCUCACAUAAGUAAUCACCAACCCAGAGAACCCCAAAUAUAGUCAAUAAAUCAUAAUAUAAUAAUUCUGACAGAAUAAUAAUAGCAGAUAAAAAAAUAACAGAUAAACAAAUAAGAUUAACACAUAAUACAGAAACUGAACUAAAUUAGGCUUCACUCUCUUUUGCUUGGAGCUAGUCCCCAGCAGAGUCGCCAUCUGUCGCAUCUCGAAAAUACGAUUCCUCGCGAUGGUCGCAGAAAAAUUAUGUUCGAACAGAGUCGCCACCGAACUUUAUUUAUCCCAAUGAAGGAAUAGGAAAAUAUCGAUAAAACCUUUAGGAAAUGGAAUAAUGGUCAUCGCAACCAUAUUCGGGUUCGGGAGUGGAUUACGUCAGGGGAAGGUAUUAGCACCCCUUACGUCCGUUGUACUCAACGGGAACCUUUUAGUUCUAAUGUGUGUUUCGAGUGUUAAUUUAUGUUUGUUUGUUAUCUUUAGGUUAUAAAAUUAAUAGAAAUGGAUGAGAACCUCAGAAAGGGAAAGGGGAGGUUGUUUAUUAGUGUGCUCGCGAAGAUACAACAAUCUCCUGCCUAUGUAUCCUUAUGGUAUAAUAAGGAAAUCAGAGCAUUCGUAGUUCGGGGAACUACAGUUGGUUGAUGUCUUUUAGUGAACAACUGCUUAGAUCACGUUCUAAAGGAUAAAUGCUGGCUUGUCUACUCUCGACGGAGGCUUAAGCAUUGGUUUGUUAUGCGCAUUAGAAAGGAUUAACAGUGUUCUUUCUGAAAAGAGUUUAGGUCACACGGAGGUGACAAAUUGGAUUAAUAUGUUGGAUGUUUUAAUUGGUUGAGAUGUUUUGAUCGCACGGGGGCGAGGAAGAUAUAUAUUUGAUGUGUUGAGACAUUUUAUUGGAUGAUGAUUACUCAGAUAUUCGAGUAAGAUAACUCGUAUCCUAACAGUCGGGAAAGGGAAUAGAAGACUCUAGACCACUUUCUUUUUCAUCCUUAAUUAUAGAAAGGAUUUGAUAAUAGUUAAGGUAUUUUGAACAGAUGACGAAUACUCGGAUAAUCGAGUAAGACAACUCGUAUCCUAAUAAUCGGGAAAAGAAAUAGAAGACUUUAGACCGCUUUCUGUUUCAUCUUUAAUUAUAUGAAAGAUUUGAUAAUAGUUAAGGUGUUUUGGAAGGAUGACGAAUACUCGGAUAAUCGAGUAAGACAACUCGUAUCCUAAUAAUCGGGAAAGGGAAUAGAAGACUCUAGACUGCUUCCUGUUUCAUCUGAAUAUUUAUGAGAAUAAGUUCGUAUAUGGUUGACGUAUUUUAGAAUGAAUGACAAGUACUCGAAUGGCUGAGUAAGACAUCUCAUAUCCAAGCAUUUGAGAAGAGGAAUUGAAGACUCAAAACCAUCUCCCUUUUCAUAUAGUUCAUUAUGAAAUGAUUUGAUUAAUCUAUUAAUUUACAGAAAAAUGACAAUUGUCCGACUGACCGAGUAACAGAACUCAUAUUCAAACAAUUGGGGAGAGAGGUUGAAAACUCAAAGUCAUCUCCCUUUUCAUUUAACUUAUCAUGAAAAUAAUUUCUAAAAUUAUCCCCAAAUCUUCAAACAUUUCCUUGCUGUUAAUAAUGACUAACCAAGUAAGAGAACUUGUAUUCAAAUAGUCGAGGAGAAAAAUUGAAGACUCAAAGUCAUCUCCCUUUUCGCUUCUUAUCAUAAAAGGAUUUGAUUUGUUUGUGCUUAAGUGAAUUAGAAAUGACGAUUAUUCGACUAACCGAGUAAAAGAAUUCAUAUUCAAAUAAUCGAGGAGAGGAGUUGAAAACUCAAAACCAUCUCCCUUUCAUUUCUAAAUGGGAUAGUAUUUAAUUGCGAUUAGAUGUUUAUUUAAUUUUGAAUGAAAAUACUCGACGUUGGAUCGAGGUUUUAAAUCUUUGUUUUGUGAAUGAAAUGAAUUUAUUUAGUGUAAGAAAGCCCAAGAGUAAGUUAUGUGAGGUUGAUGGCGAUGCUUUAAAAGCCAUCGACUUACAAGGGUGUUUGAAAAUGGACUCGAUAUUAAAUCGAGAAUUGUAUGAUUUAUUUGUGGUUUGAGGUCGUUUUGAAAUGAUGAUGAAACGAUGCUUUAAAAGCCAUCGACUUACAAGGGUGUUUGAAAAUGGACUCGAUAUUAAAUCGAGAAUUGUAUGAUUUAUUUGUGGUUUGAGGUCGUUUUGAAAUGAUGAUGAAUUGAUUUGGAUUUCGUAAUUUAAAGUGAUUUUGUGAUAACAAAAAUUAAUUGAUUGAAAUUCAGUUAAUUUGUCUAAUUAAGGUAAUUAAAAGUAAUUAUCCAAAUCAUUAGAUUAAAUAUUGAAAUAAUUUAAUGACUAAGUUAAUUAAAAUUAAUUAAGGGAAUUAUCCAAUUUAAUUAAAAUUUUAAUUAUCUAAUCACAAUUUAAUUAUUCAAUUAAAUUAUUCAAGAUAUCACUCAUUUCCAAACUUCAAACUAUAGCUUGAAACCACACUUUACUUUUCAUACUAAAAGCACACAUCACAUUUUGAGAGAGAAUAUGGGCCUAAGAUUUACUACAAAAACAUAACACUUAAAUAUACUUUAAUAUCAUAAUAACAUAUAAUAAUACCACCGUGUCAUUCUAUUCCCGUAAAAACGCGAGACAUCAAAAAUAUAUAUUUACAAACCAUAAAUAUUAUGGUUUACAAACUUUUCUUUAGAAACUUCCAAAAACAUCAUAGAAUUAUAUUUACAAAACCAUUUGCAAUGUUAUACAUGAUUCAAAAUUUAGCAAAAACACACUCACAAUGGAGCCGCAAUCGAUAGCAGUAUUAUGGAUGAGUAACCAAUAUGGUGUAGGCAUAUUUGGUCACACAAAGCUAUCUAUUAAAACAAUUGCACAAAAAGAAUUGAAUAAUAAUCAACAUGUAAAAGCUAUACCAUUAUAUAAUCUCUUUAAAACAAAAUGUGUUGCCUAUUUUCCUAACUGUCAUGCUCAGUCAUGGCAACGCAGAACAAAAAAAAAGGUAAAUCAUUCAAGAUCACAAAAAACGUUAAUUCUAAAUAAACACUAAAUCAACACAAGCAAGAAUACAACAUAUGUUCAGUAUGAAAUAAGAAAGGGAGAGCCAAAAUCAUAACCGUUGGCGGCAUUGACCCUUGGGCUGGUUAUUCGCGACGGAAUCCCAAGCAACCACGGCAUAGAGAUGGUUCUGUUGCGGAAAGGUAGGUGGUGUGACGACGUGUUGAUUCCGGCGCGGUUUUUUCGACGGAGUUUGGUGGUUUGUCGGUGCGGAAGGGUUUUGCGAUGAGAUUCAAAGAGAUCAGGCGGAAGGAGUCGCGGAGAUGCGUUUAGCGUUACCGCAGAGGAGGUGCACGUCGGUUGUGGUUUGCAUUUCCGAAAGGGUAAUGGAAGGAGCGUGAAGAGGGAAGCUUUUCUUUUCCUUUUUUAUUAUCCUCCUUUUUUCCGUUGAAAGAGAGAGUAUUUUUCUUAUGAUAGUGAGUGAGUGGUCUCAUGAGUCUCUUUUUUCUUUAUUUUAUAGAGAAGAGCCUGUAUUGUCUUUUCAUUUGCUUUCUUUUGUAGCAGAGAGACGUUGGUGGAGGUCCUGUGUGCGCUAGCUGUCACCUAAAUAUGAAAUCCUUUCUUUUCUUUUGCCAGUUAAAGAGAGUGUGGAUUGGAGAGAGAUUUUUUAUAUUUUUUAUUUAUUUUCAGAUUUUCUUUAAUAAUAGUAUUACUUAAAUCCUAAUUUUUGAUUGGAUAAAUGGGAUAAAUGUGGAUUGCUAAUAAUGGUCACUGAUUAAUUUGAACCCGAUGGCUUGGAUUGAAUCAAAGAAAUACACCAAUAAACACACACUAUUUAAAUAAAUCAAAAUGCAUAUAAUGCCUAUUUUUAAAUGAUUUAAUCGAUUUAAAACAAUUUAAA
rnacentral:lncRNA from 1 species